UACGUAGGGUGCAAGCGUUAAUCGGAAUUACUGGGCGUAAAGCGUGCGCAGGCGGUGAGCUGUGUCCGAUGUGAAAGCCCCGGGCUUAACCUGGGAAUGGCAUUGGAAACUGGCUCGCUGGAGUGUGGCAGAGGGGGUGGAUUCCGCGUGUAGCAGUGAAAUGCGUAGAGAUGCGGAGGAACACCGAUGGCGAAGGCAGCCCCCUGGGCUAACACUGACGCUCAGGCACGAAAGCGUGGGGAGCAAACAGG
rnacentral:rRNA from 1 species